rnacentral:rRNA from 1 species
GACGAACGCUGGCGGCGUGCUUAACACAUGCAAGUCGAGCGGUAAGGCCCUUUCGGGGGUACACGAGCGGUGAACGGGUGAGUAACACGUGGGUGACCUGCCCUCAGCUCUGGGAUAAGCCUGGGAAACCGGGUCUAAUACUGGAUAUGACUCCAUGACGCAUGUUGUGGGGUGGAAAGCCUUGUGCGGCUGAGGAUGGGCCCGCGGCCUAUCAGCUUGUUGGUGGGGUGANGGCCUACCAAGGCGACGACGGGUAGCCGGCCUGAGAGGGCGACCGGCCACACUGGGACUGAGACACGGCCCAGACUCCUACGGGAGGCAGCAGUGGGGAAUCUUGCGCAAUGGGCGAAAGCCUGACGCAGCGACGCCGCGUGAGGGAUGACGGCC